rnacentral:piRNA from 1 species
UACUGUGUUUGCUGCUGGUCCU